rnacentral:rRNA from 1 species
GACGAACGCUGGCGGCGUGCUUAACACAUGCAAGUCGAACGGAAAGGCCCUGCUUUUGUGGGGUGCUCGAGUGGCGAACGGGUGAGUAACACGUGAGUAACCUGCCCUUGACUUUGGUAUAACUUCAGGAAACUUGGUCUAAUACCGGAUAGGAUCUCCUGCUGCAUGGUGUGGGUUGGAAAGUUUCGGCGGUUGGGGAUGGACUCGCGGCUUAUCAGCUUGUUGGUGGGGUAGUGGCUUACCAAGGCUUUGACGGGUAGCCGGCCUGUGAGGGUGAACGGGGAAAUGGGGACUGAGAGAGGGACCAGAAGGGAACGGGAGGCAGCAGGGGGGAAUAGUGCACAAUGGGCGGAAGCGUGAUGAAGAAAAGCGGCGUGCGGGAUGACGGGCUUCGGGUUGUAAAAAGAUGUCGAAUGAGACGAAGAGUGAGUGACGGUAAUGGGUAAAGAAGCACCGGCUAACUACGUG